rnacentral:rRNA from 1 species
UACGAAGGGGGCUAGCGUUGUUCGGAAUUACUGGGCGUAAAGGGCGCGUAGGCGGUGUGUCAAGUCAGGCGUGAAAGCCCCGGGCUCAACCUGGGAACCGCGCUUGAGACUGGCACGCUGGAGUCCGGGAGAGGAUGGUGGAAUUCCCAGUGUAGAGGUGAAAUUCGUAGAUAUUGGGAAGAACACCGAUGGCGAAGGCAGCCAUCUGGACCGGCACUGACGCUGAGGCGCGAAAGCGUGGGGAGCAAACAGG